ACGGGGUGCAGCAGGCGCGAAAAACUUUACAAUGCGGGAAACCGCGAUAAGGGGACACUGAGUGCCAGCAUAUUAUGUUGGCUGUCCACAUGUAUAAAUACCAUGUGUUAGCAAGGGCCGGGCAAGACCGGUGCCAGCCGCCGCGGUAACACCGGCGGCCCGAGUGGUGAUCACUUUUAUUGGGUCUAAAGGGUCCGUAGCCGGUUUGAUCAGUCCUCCGGGAAAUCUGACAGCUUAACUGUUAGGCUUCCGGGGGAUACUGUCAGACUUGGGACCGGGAGAGGUAAGAGGUACUACAGGGGUAGGAGUGAAAUCUUGUAAUCCCUGUGGGACCACCAGUGGCGAAGGCGUCUUACCAGAACGGGUCCGACGGUGAGGGACGAAAGCUGGGGGCACGAACCGGAUUAGAUACCCGGGUAGUCCCAGCCGUAAACGAUGCUCGCUAGGUGUCAGGGACGGUGCGACCGUUUCUGGUGCCGCAGGAAGCCGUGAAGCGAGCCACCUGGAAGUACGCCGCAAG
rnacentral:rRNA from 1 species